rnacentral:rRNA from 1 species
AUACGGAGGGUGCGAGCGUUAUCCGGAUUUAUUAGGUUUAAAGGGUGUGUAGGCGGGAGCCUAAGUCAGUGGUGAAAUCUUACAGCUUAACUGUGAAACUGCCAUUGAAACUGGGUUUCUUGAGUAUAGUUGAGGUAGGCGGAAUGUGUAAUGUAGCGGUGAAAUGCAUAGAUAUUACACAGAACACCGAUUGCGAAGGCAGCUUACUAAGCUAUUACUGACGCUGAUGCACGAAAGCGUGGGUAGCGAACAGGAUUAGAUACCCUAGUAGUCC